rnacentral:rRNA from 1 species
UACGUAGGGUGCGAGCGUUAAUCGGAAUUACUGGGCGUAAAGCGUGCGCAGGCGGUGAGUUAAGUCUGCUGUGAAAGCCCCGGGCUCAACCUGGGAAUGGCAGUGGAAACUGGCUCGCUGGAGUAUGGCAGAGGGGGGUGGAAUUCCGCGUGUAGCAGUGAAAUGCGUAGAGAUGCGGAGGAACACCGAUGGCGAAGGCAGCCCCCUGGGCCAAUACUGACGCUGAGGAGCGAAAGCUAGGGGAGCAAACGGG